CUUAUGGUGGCCUAGUGGUUAAAACAUCCGCCUCAUAUGUGGGAGGUCAUGGGUUUGAUCCCCGGUCGAAGUAUACCAAAGA